AUGAAGCUGGAAUUGCUAGUAAUGGCAGGUCAGCAUACUGCCGUGAAUACGUUCCCGGGCCUUGUACACACCGCCCGUCACACCAUGAGAGUUGGGAAUACCCGAAGCCUGUGAGCUAACUUUUUAAGAGGCAGCAGUCGAAGGUAGAAUCAAUGAUUGGGGGUGAAGUCGUAACAAGGUAAC
rnacentral:rRNA from 1 species